UACGUAGGUCCCGAGCGUUGUCCGGAUUUAUUGGGCGUAAAGCGAGCGCAGGUGGUUUAUUAAGUCUGGUGUAAAAGGCAGUGGCUCAACCAUUGUAUGCAUUGGAAACUGGUAGACUUGAGUGCAGGAGAGGAGAGUGGAAUUCCAUGUGUAGCGGUGAAAUGCGUAGAUAUAUGGAGGAACACCGGUGGCGAAAGCGGCUCUCUGCCCUGUAACUGACACUGAGGCUCGAAAGCGUGGGGAGCAAACAGG
rnacentral:rRNA from 1 species